GUAGACAUAGUUUAAUAAAAACAUUAGAUUGUGAUUCUAAAAAUAAAGGUUGAACCCCUGUUGUCCACC
rnacentral:tRNA from 1 species